AUUGAACGCUGGCGGCAUGCUUUACACAUGCAAGUCGAACGGUAACAGGCCUUCGGGCGCUGACGAGUGGCGAACGGGUGAGUAAUGCAUCGGAACGUGCCCAGUCGUGGGGGAUAACGCAGCGAAAGCUGUGCUAAUACCGCAUACGAUCUGUGGAUGAAAGCGGGGGACCUUCGGGCCUCGCGCGAUUGGAGCGGCCGAUGUCAGAUUAGGUAGUUGGUGGGGUAAAGGCUCACCAAGCCAACGAUCUGUAGCUGGUCUGAGAGGACGACCAGCCACGCUGGGCCUGAGACACGGCCCAGACUCCUACGGGAGGCAGCAGUGGGGAAUUUUGGACAAUGGGCGCAAGCCUGAUUCAGCAAUGCCGCGUGCAGGAAGAAGGCCUUCGGGUUGUAAACUGCUUUUGUACGGAACGAAACGGUCCUGGUUAAUACCUGGGGCUAAUGACGGUACCGUAGGAAUAAGCACCGGCUAACUACGUGCCAGCCGCCGCAGUAA
rnacentral:rRNA from 1 species